CGCUCCACAUCCCCUAUUCAAAUUCUAACGCUCCCAUCAUCAGAAGUGAAACAAUGCUCCUCAGGUCGCCGCCUCCGUCGUUGUCUCUCGUAACCCUAGAGAGAAAGGCAGAUAGCCACGGCGUUUCUCUCUUCUCUUCGCGCAGUGAUGUGAAGAUUUCGUUCGGUUCGUCGACGGUGCUGAGACCGUCGGCGAGAAACGCGAGUGGAAGGUUUGUGAUUAGCGCGAAUAGUCGUCCGAAUUUGGAUGUCGUGUUCGAGCCGUUCGAAGAAGUGAAGAAGGAGCUGCUUCUCGUCCCGACCGUGCCUCAAGCGUCGCUUGCUCGUCAGUUCUUCCCCGACCAGUGCGAGGCCGCCAUUAACGAGCAGAUCAACGUGGAGUACAAUGUCUCCUACAUCUAUCAUGCCCUGUACGCCUAUUUUGAUAGAGAUAAUGUUGCUCUCAAAGGCCUUGCUAAAUUCUUCAAGGAAUCAAGCUUAGAGGAAAGGCAACAUGCGGAAAAAUUCAUGGAAUAUCAGAAUAAAAGAGGAGGAAAAGUUAAGCUACAGUCUAUUCUGAUGCCAGCAGAUGAAUUUGAGAACAUCGAGAAGGGAGAUGCAUUAUAUGCAAUGGAGCUAACAUUGUCCCUUGAGAAGUUAACAAACGAGAAGCUUCUGAAUUUACACAGGGUGGCCAGUCAGAAUAAUGAUGUGCAAUUGGUGGAUUUUGUUGAGAGCGAGUUCUUAGAGGAGCAGGUGGAAGCUAUAAAGACGAUGUCACAGUAUGUCGCUCAGCUUCGGAGGGUUGGCAAAGGACACGGUGUUUGGCACUUUGAUCAGAUGCUCCUGAACAGUGAGAUUGCUGCAUGAGGGCGAUGGCUUGGAAUUUUUAAUGCAGGCAGUCAUUCCUUUGCCCUAGUAAACUGUAUGGAUCAACUGGUAAACUUGAACUGGUUCUUGGGUUUGAGCAAUGUCAUAUAGUCACAUUUCUCAUCCCAGUUUCUGCACCUAUAAAACGCAAUCUGGACCUUUAUUAUUAAAUGCGACCAGAAAUAAGACUCUGCACUUCUCGUAAUAAGCUGAACUUGCUGAAUUACUAUGAUAAUCAGUAAUAUACGUGAGGCUGUGUGCAGGGCAUUGUGCAAAUAAGUAAUCACUUGGAUUUUAGCCAACGAACAUAGAAUGGGGACCGUGUGCUAGAUAGUAAUAGCUAGUUCACAACUGCGCUGUGUAUAUAUUUCACUCAAUUUUUUUAACUUCUCAGAAGACACAUUCUUCAUUAGAAGGCCCAGAAAGAGCUUCAACAUCAUCACAUAUGCAUGCUCCUAAUAACAGAUUCAUCUGUCAAAGUAACUCUAUCAUUGGUCAACAAUACGAAGCCACUGGGAAGCAACAGCAAAGAGUCUUGAGCAUUCACCAGUUUUAGGAGCUUUUUUCUGUUGAACUAGAUGAUUAGCUUCAACAUCCAUCUCACAAUAAAUAGUGGCAUAAAAGAUUGAGAAAUGUUAUUCCCUUUGCGCACCGCAGCUAGAAUGAAGUCCCUUGCUUCUGAUGGCUUUGAAUGUGUAAAAGAAAUUUGAAUUCCGCACAGUUCAUGACUUUUAAACUGCUUAAAAACUUGCAUGUUUCC